GAUGAGCUCCAUUCGCCAAGCUUUUAUGGCUUAUAUAGAUGAUGAAAAUUGAGACUUGGACUUAGAACGGAAAGAAAUCGAUUUAUGGACGAGUAUGUCCUUUUCACAUUUGUGGUACGAGAGUUUCCAGGUUAGCUCGGGUUGGAGGCCGUCAGAGAUAUUAUCACCCUAUCGAGUUAACGUUAUCGGAGUAAGUAAACUCAAGUGAUUCGAGUCUAUGGCAUGUAUAGGGUUUUAAUGUGAGUAUGUAAUAUUAUGAUUUAGCCAAAGGCAGUGGCUUGUUAUUAAGGUAGUAUUAGUCAUGUAAAUUGGCCUAUGUCGGCUAAUGACAUUAUGGGCCCAUAUGAUUAUUCUUAUGCAUGUAUGUUAUUAUCUCUUGUGAUGUGGCUUACAACAUGUAUGCCUAGAGAUUGAAUUGAGAUUCAUUGAUGAGCUAGUAACUAAUGCAGGAUUAAGUGAUUGGUAAAUAGUUAAUAA